CUUAUUAACUUCCAUUGAAUUAUCGAUUAUUGUUGUUAACUUCUGUAUUUAAUAUAAAUAUAAAUAAAUCGACGUGGGAAUCCACUGAAGAUAAACAACCGAACCGUGAGAGCGGAAAUAAACAUUGAAACAUUGGAGCGAGAUAUAUGGGAAAGGAGACGACGAAAAUGAUGCAGAGAGAACCAGACACGAGGAGGAGAGGAAGCAGACCUUCUUUGGAUAGUGAACGAACAACAACCGAAAUGUAAGUCGUUACGACGGGGAAAGCAGCUCGUCCCGUUGGGACGGCCGACAAGGCCCGACGCAGCGUGAUAGUCAUGGCGACGACGACGACGAAAAGGGAACAGAGCGUCACACAUAGAGGGACGCAAGACACAGAGAUACUCUCUCUCUCUCAUAUAGACAGAGAGAGGAGAACUUCUACAUUAGUUAAUGAACGAACUACAACGCAGAAUGUAAGUCUCUCCAACGAAAAAGCACGACGUCCCGUCGGGGCGUCGAUGGACGGCCGACGAGGAUGGAGACGAUGGACGACGAGGAACAAUAGCGACGAUAAAGUAUGAACAACGACGCCGACGAUGGCGAAAGACCGACGUUAUUAGACUUUAUGGACUUUCGACUAUUUAGACCUUAAUAUCUUUGGAAAUUAUGCAGUUUCUAUUUCUUUUAAUAUCUCUCAGGUAUGUGGAUGGGCUCGUCUCACACUCUCUCGAAUGGAACAGAACAGUAUAUUGUGAAUUAUUAGUUAAGAUUAGGCUUAGGAUAUUCUUUUAUGCUUGUUUAGACUCUCAUAUUCUUGCACAGUAGUAACUUUUAUUCUUUUAUUAUUAUUAUUACUGCUGUAAAUAAAUGCUUUUGUGUAUGUUAAAUGUGUGUCCGUCGUUCAUUCCUGGAUCCCCGUACCACUUGCUCACACGCC
rnacentral:lncRNA from 1 species